rnacentral:rRNA from 1 species
UACGGAGGGUGCGAGCGUUAAUCGGAAUUACUGGGCGUAAAGGGUGCGUAGGUGGUGAAGUAAGUUAUCUGUGAAAUUCCUGGGCUUAACCUGGGGUGGUCAGAUAAAACUGCUGCACUCGAGUAUAGGAGAGGGUAGUGGAAUUUCCGGUGUAGCGGUGAAAUGCGUAGAGAUCGGAAGGAACACCAGUGGCGAAGGCGGCUACCUGGCCUGAUACUGACACUGAGGCACGAAAGCGUGGGGAGCGAACAGG